rnacentral:lncRNA from 1 species
CUCCGAGAUGCCGAAGGGCCAGCAGCGGCCCCGAAGCUCCGGGCUGGCCGCGCUGUCGCUCUGCCGCGCCCCGGUCUCGAAGUGAAGGUGCCUCUUCCUGGCUAGCCCACCUACAUGCUGUCAUCACUGGGCUUCUGCAACUCUCAGUCUUUGUGGCUGCACCCUUCCCUUCUGAAUCCUGAGGACCCAUGAGUGUCAGGCCCAUCAUGAAAUUGGUCGUCUUACUGGGUACGUAGGUCAUGCAGGAACGGGUCCUUGCAAGAGGACUAC